rnacentral:rRNA from 1 species
UUAAAUGUCCAUACCACGUUGAAUACACCGGAUCUCCUCCGAUCACCGAAGUUAAGCAACGUCGGGCGCGGUCAGUACUUGGAUGAGUGACCGCCUGGGAACCGGACGCGGGACCGCGUGAC